GCCAGGCGCAGUAGCACGUGCCUGUAGUCCCAGCUACUCGGGAGUCUGAGGUCGGAGGAUCACUUAAGCCCAGGAGUUCUGGGCUAUAGUGUGCUAUGCUGACCAGGUGUCCACACUAAGUUCGGCAUCAAUAUGGUGACCUCCCAGGAGAGGGGGACUACCAGGAUGUCUAAGGUGGGGUGAACCGGCCCAGGUCGGAAAUGAAGCACGUCAAAACUCCUGCGCUGAUCAGUAGUGGGAUCGCGCCUGUGAAUAGCCACUGCACUCUAGCCUGGGCAACACAGGAAGAUCCCAUCUCU
rnacentral:SRP_RNA from 1 species